UACGCAGUGAACUGAAAAUUGCUGCAAUUUCUUUUGUUUGCAGGUCCUUUCUCUAGAAGAACUUGAUAUAGAAGAUGAGGACCUACUCACAAAGUGGAUGGGAAGUAAAUCUAUCAAGAAACAGAAUAGAUAAUACUCGCAACGAAGUGAUUUAAGCUCAAACUUGCUGCAGGUAGUGCAUAAUAUGGAAAACGGAGAUUUCUUUCACUUGCAUAGCCUUGACAUAAUUGAUUUGGCUGGCAAACCGCUCGAAGGAAGACGGUGGUGGUUGAGUGCAGAUGACCCCUUUCAGUGCCUGACUGCAUGCACCAAUCUUAGUGAAAAUGUUAGAACUUCAUCCCCGGGGCGACGACUAUUAAGUUUCACCAUUAAUUGAGUCCUACAAAUUUGAUUUGUCUGGCGAUGUUCGGCUCACAUUGGAAGUAUUGUAGUACGUUCGUUUAAAGUGAUUGCUUCAAUUCAAGUUAUGAGAAGCAUGUCAGGUAGAUUAGAAGGUGUAGAAGUUUCUGAUAUAUUUGGUCCUUAAUAAAUUUAUUUUUCCGCAGAAUUUAGGUAUUCAUGUGAAUCUCAUGAUCUUGAACAAUGAACAUACAUAAAAGUGUUGAGCCUCUUGUUUUCUGAAGAUGGUGUCUUGUGUCAAAAGUGGCUAAGAAGGAGGCUUCAACUAAGACUAAACGCCGGGAAAAAAUGCAUUACCGAUUUGCAAUAGGUAAAUGGUUGUGGUCUGUAGAUAGUUCUCCCAUAUAUGUUGUAAAGAAUAUGUACUAUGGCAUUUACCAGUAUGAUGCAAUUGCUGAUGUUAUUCCAAAAAAUGUGUGAAUAGCAUCCAUCAAAUUGUUGUUCCAGCUUUUAUAACAUUGGGCCCGAUUGAGGAGUGCACUGCUCCAUACAGUUGUGUUUAGUGAUAGUUCAUUAAAAAUUUAAAAAUGUUUC